UGAGCAAGCUGGACAACCGCGGGCGCAGUGCCGAAAGGCCGCGCGUGAGGAAAGUCCGGGCUCCAUAGGGCAAGGGUGCCGGGUAAUUCCCGGUGAAGGCGACUUCAAGGACAGUGCAACAGAAAUAGACCGCCGGUUUUGGCCGGCAAGGAUGGAAAGGUGAGGUAAGAGCUCACCAGCAGCCUGGCGACAGGCUGGCUCUGUAAACCCCACCUGGAGCAACACCGUGGAGGGACAUUGUGCGGCCCGCACGUCCCGGGGAGGUGGCUGGAGCCGUUCAGAAAUGAUCGGCCUGGAUAGAUGGUUGUCCACGACAGAACCCGGCUUACAGGCUUGCUCAGGAA
rnacentral:RNase_P_RNA from 1 species